GGCGGACGGGUGAGUAACACGUGAGAAUUUACCUUUAGGAGGGGGAUAACAAUUGGAAACGAUUGCUAAUACCCCAUAUGCUUUUGAGUGAAAUGGGUUUAUAUUUAUCCGCCUAGAGAGAAGCUCGCGGCUGAUUAGCUUGUUGGUAAGGUAAGAGCUUACCAAGGCGACGAUCAGUAUCUGGUUUGAGAGGACGAUCAGACACACUGGAACUGAGACACGGUCCAG
rnacentral:rRNA from 1 species